UUGUCAAAUAAAAACGCACUUUUUACCAAAACACACAUUUAGCGCACUUAAAAGUGCGUUAAUUGUGUGUUUUUUGUUAAUAUGUGCGUUUUCAGUGUUCAAAAGUGCAUUUAAGUGCGCUUUUUGUGCGUUUUUACUUUUCAAGUGCGUUAUUUUAGUGAAAAAGUGCGUUUUUUGUGUGUUUUCUUCAUCUGUAAGUGCGCUUUUGAGUGUAGAUGUGAGCAAAAUGUGUGUUUUUUAUCUAAGAAGUGCGUCUUUUAUUUAGGAAGUGCGUUUUUUGUGUGUUUUCUUCAUCUGUAAGUGCGCUUUUGAGUGUAGAUGUGAGCAAAAUGUGUUUUUUUUUCUAAGAAGUGCGUCUUUUAUUUAGGAAGUGCGUCUUUUAUCUUAGAAGUGUGUUUUAAGGUUUACAGAUGUGGGUUUUUUCUCACAAAAGUGCGUUUUUCUAUUUUGAUGUGCGUCUUUUUUAAGCAUAAGUUAGUCUUUUAUUUCAUAAGUGCGUUUUUAUCAUAUGAUCUGUUUUAAAAGGAUGUAUCUAAAAAGACACAUGUUUAACACACUUCUUAAAAAGUGUGUCUUUAACAACUGUUUAGCAAAUGUUGUACAGAAAUUGAACAAGAAACAAAAUUGUUGCAGGCUCUAACAAUUUAUUUACAUCAAAUGAUUAAACAUAGACAUAUAUCUCAGUAACCUGUAAUAAUAUAAGGGGCAGUUUGAAUAAUUACUGGUUGUCCAUAUUAACCUGUUUAAUGUUUACAUACUUUAUCAUACAAUUUCAAUGCAUACCCUAUUGCUUACGUUUUAAUCUCAAACAUUUCUAAAAAUUUCCACCUAAAUCAGACUGUGUGUAACUAAUUAAAAAUAUUGAAAGUGUCAAAAGUAUUAUGUGGGCUUGAUAGUAUCAAUUAUAUUUCCUCAACAUAAACAAGUAUUUGAACUUUCUUAUACUGAUAUUUAUACCCUAAUACAAUUAAUGUCUACCACAUUGACCAUAAACAUACAUUUUAAAAGGCAAUUAAAAUAAUAUUAAUACUAUUAAUAUUAUUUGCUAAAACCAUUCAGCAUGUUAUAUUUAAAUAUUUACAAUUAAAUAUAAUGUGUUAAGGGUGCUGUGUAUUAUUCAAUAAAUAUUUUGGUGUUGAAAUGACUGCCUUAUCAGUAUUUCUCAAAUUAUGCAAUUUUUGGCUUAGACACAGCAUGGUAUCAGAUAAGAGAAUAGCCAGUCCCUAUCAGUCCUCCAUCUAAGCCUAACUAAGGGGUGUAGAUAUACUUUUGAUUUGUUCAGGCACCAUCUAUUUGAGAACACAGAUAGGAAGUUAUUUUUUGAAAACAAGCAGCAUCAGCAACUGACUUAAAGCUAGAAUUAAGACUUAUUAUUCUAGUGUAAAAUGUCUUGAAAUACUUUCAGCAUGAAGUAUUGUGUGAUGAAAAAAAUGUGUAUUUACUACAAUGUGUAAAUAAACAAUAAAGGAGAUUAAAAGUGGGUGGUUAAAGACAUAUAAAGUGAUAUGGUCUAGUUCAACAACUGCCUGUAUUUUUGGAAUACUGAAGAACAGUCUGUUGUAACAGGUUAAACCACAUGGAAAGAAUGUGCAUCAUCGCAUCGCCUGCCAAAAAAGGGAGCAAAAGAGAGACUACCUGAUGUAUGGACUUGAAUACCAGGUUUUACCCUGCACAAGCUGGCCGACAUGAGGAGAACAGGAGUGGGAAAACCGCGCCCUCUCCUUGACCAAGAAAAGCUGGAUUUGUUUAGAGGACCUGAUCAAAUGAGAUCAUGCACGAGACGCAUCGCGCAAAAGCCAUGACAGUAUAAUAGUUGCAAAGAAGUUUGACCGGCUGGUGGCAGACUUGGAGAGAAAGAUGAGAGCUGCACUCCGCUGCCUCAAAGAAAUGCUGAAAGACCUUGAUUGAUAUGCAUCUUUCUUAUGUAUAUAGCUGUUUGUGUAUAUAUAGUACAUGUUAUUAUAGUAUGCUAUUAUUUUUUGUUUAUUUAUAAUCAAAUUAUGUUUAUAUUUAUUUCAUCAAAUUGCCAUUGAUAUUUAAUUACUCAUGUAUGUUAAAAAAUGUUGGUGUACAUUAAAGUAUAAAAUUGAAUUAUCUUGUAAUUAUUAAAAUACACAAAUGUAUAUGUUUAUAUAAUUAUUGGUUUUUAUUGCAUAUCUGAAUUAAAAAAAACUUUUAACAGCAUAUAAUUGAAUCAACUGUUAAGGCAAAAGAUGCACCUUUAACGCACAUGUGUGCUUUUUGUGAGUGCGUUUUUUGCUGCCAUUCAUGUGCGUAAAUUGUGCGUUUUGUGUGGGUUAUAACUGCGCUUAACGUGCGUAAAAUGUGCGCUUUUUGUGAGUUAAAUGUGCGCUUUUUUAUUUAAAAAGCGCACAUUUAACGCACAUAAAAGCGCACAUUUAACACACAUGUGCGCUUUUAUGUGGGUUAUAAC